CAUUAAGAAGCUAGUAGCGCUAACCUUUUAAGUUAGAGACUGAGAGCCAAGCUCUCCUUAAUGA